GAAGGUAUAGCUCAGUGGUAGAGUAUGUGCUGAGCUUGCAUGAGGUCUUGGGUUCAAUCUCCAGUACCUCCA
rnacentral:tRNA from 1 species